UCGCCUCUUGCAGUUUAUAAGAGGUCUAGCCUGCCCAGUGACUUGUUUAACGGCCGCGGUAUCCUAACCGUGCGAAGGGUAGCGUAAUCACUUGUUUUUUAAAUUAAGACUAGUAUGAAUGGCAUCACGAGGAUCAAACUGUCUCCUUUUUUUAAUCAGUGAAACUAAUCUCCCCGUGAAGAAGCGGGGAUCUCUAUAUAAGACGAGAAGACCCUAUGGAGCUUUAAACUAUCAGUUAUUUGCCCUGUAUCUAUAAAUAUACUUAAGCAGCACUUUAACUCCAUGUUUUAGGUUGGGGUGACCCAGGAGAAAAAAUUAUCCUCCUAGUUGAUAAGGGCUUGCCCUAAGCAAAAAGCUACAACUUUAAGCAUCAAAAAAUUGACAUCCAUUGACCCAGUAUUCUGAGCAACGAACCAAGUUACCCUAGGGAUAACAGCGCAAUCUACUUCAAGAGUCCUUAUCAACAAGUGGGUUUACGACCUCGAUGUUGGAUCAGGGUGUCCCAGUGGUGCAGCCGCUACUAAAGGUUCGUUUGUUCAACGAUUAAAACCCCACGUGA
rnacentral:rRNA from 1 species